AAAGUUAGGGAGAGAUAGAAAGGGUGAGUGACGGGAAUAAAAUAUGGAGUAGUUGGUAUAGAAUAUGAGAUAGAGAUAACAUAUGUGCGGGAGAAAUGAGUAUAGAGUAGAGAAUUUCGAUAAUUAGGAUAGAAUAUUUCUUUUAAGAGAUGGAAAUAGAUGUCGACGAGUGUGGAUAGCCUUGGGCCGGCAUUGCCGCCGCGGUGGCCCUAGUUGCAUUUGCGUGCACUUGAUCAUUGGUGAUCUCCCUGGAGAUCACUGUUGAGAAGUUUAGGUAUGUCCGACCAAGAGAGAGAAAGAGAAGGAAUGGAUCGGUCGAUGGAAAGCUGAAAGCAUGCAUGCGCUGGUUUAAUUUCGGUGUGGCCCAGCGCUGCAUGCG
rnacentral:lncRNA from 1 species